rnacentral:rRNA from 1 species
AUUGAACGCUGGCGGCAUGCCUAACACAUGCAAGUCGAGCGAGCGGCGGACGGGUGAGUAAUGUAUGGGGACUGCCCGAUCGAUGGGGAUAACUACUGUAAACGGUAUCUAAUACCGCAUACUCUCGUAUACCCCAUAUGGGAUUAGCUAGUAGGUCAGGUAAUGGCUAACCUAGGCGACGAUCCCUAGCUGGUCUGAGAGGAGGAUCAGCAACACGGGGACUGAGACACGGCCCAGACUCCUACGGAGGCAGCAGUGGGGAAUAUUGCACAAUGGGCGAAAGCCUGAUGCAGCCAUGCCGCGUGUAUGAAGAAGGCCCUAGGGUUGUAAAGUACUUUCAGUAGGGAGGCGUUACCGAAAGAAGAAGCACCGGCUAACUCCGUGCCAGCAGCCGCGGUAAUUC